rnacentral:tRNA from 3 species
GCCUCUAUAGCUCAGUUGGCUAGAGCAGCUGAUUUGUAAUCAGCAGGUCGAGGGUUCGAGUCCCCCUGGAGGCU